rnacentral:lncRNA from 1 species
GUCACAGUCUUUUCACAUUUCCAUGGUGGCCAAAGAAGAGGGAGAAGAUCGACUCAAGUUGAGACAGACUAAAAGCAAUGGAGAUGAAAGCGAUGUCAUCCUGAUCUCUUUAAGGAGUUCAAUCCAUGAAAAUAGAUAGCAUUGCCAAAAGCUACCUCCAAAGUGAGGCAUCAUACCAAGGCAGAACAGAAUAAAUUGUCAACAAAUUCCUCUUGAUAACUCUUGGGAGAUGCAUGGCCCACACAAAGGUGCUUGCUAAUC